rnacentral:lncRNA from 1 species
UUUCCAAGGAAGUUUGUUUUUUUUCUGCUAAUAAUUUUUUAAUUAAUUAUCAAAUUUUGUGAAUUUUGUAAGAAUUUUAUGCGAUUUAAAGGCGACGUUCGAGCUGCAUCUUUUAACGUUACAGUUCUAUUUAAUAAUGGCGACUUUCAAUCUUAAGUUUCUCUAAUAGAAUUCAUAUGGAUAAAAUUGUUUUAAUACUGGGAUAAGACACUCAGACACAUAAAAUCAUUCGGGAACAUAGAUAGCUAUAGAAUGAACGGAGAGACAAAAAUCCGCAUAGCGAGAUACAGGCAUACUGGCACAUACAUCGAUAUACAUUAUAGAAAAAAAUCCAAAACAGAUAACACACUUACCAACAUAUAAGAAGAGAAAUAUUCACUUACAGGUAAGAAAUAAACAGAUAACACACAUAUAGCAAGAUUCAAAUCUACUUACACACAAAAACACAUACCAAUAUAUAAGCAAAAAAAUAUAUACAUAUAGAGGCAAGAAAUAAACAUAUAUUUGUAUAACAUAGAGGAACACAGACACACGCACACAUAAAUAGUGUAUAAUGCAUGGAUAGAGAAACACACUAUCAAACACUGUAGAUCCAACUUAGGUUCUAGUUUAAAUUAAUGACAUGUUGUAUGACAUAAUGUAUUUUAAUUUUUAAUUAUUCCAAAAUAGCAAACAUAUUCAAAAAGUGGGCUAUAAUUCUUUCCAGUACUACUACUUAAUUAAAUUUAAAAUUCUUACUCAUUUAUCUAUAACAAUUUUGGAUAUUUAAAAUCUACAAAUUUAACACUAAAAUAUUUCCAGAAACCGUUAAAACUUUCGGUCUUGCUCGAAUUAAAAUUUAUCACGUUUUUUUAGAUAACGUUUUCUAGGCGUUGUUUCGAAUUAAACUAGAUUUUUCUUUAAUCUUUGAAACAAUGAAAAUAAAGUAGAAACUUUCGAAAGAGAAUUUCUUUUUUUUCAAGUGUAUUGUUUCGAAAUGCGCGAAUAGAUGAAGAUUUCUGACUCCAGUGGAUAAAUGUUGCAGGGUUCGAAAUGUGGCUAUUUACUUCUCAGUCUUUUUAUCUCUUGAACAACUUCAGUCAAUUUGGGAAUAAGAGAGGAAACACAAGAAAGUGCCUAUUGAUCCAGGUCUUGAUUAGAGCACCUUGUUAUCAGCAGCUACCUCUUGGUCAAGUGGUUAUAAUCCCAUCUAGAAAAUUCGUGUACAGAAUAGGCUAUUUUCUAUACUAUCCAUUGAUAUUUUCAUCGCCUGCUCAUUCCUGUAAUUGAAACUAUAAAUUUUCUAUAACAGAAGGAAUGAUAAUGAUUUAAUCCUUUUUUUUUUUUUUAUGGAAAAGAAAUUCUUCGAACUAGAUAGAUUCUAUGCGAAAACAAUUUAAUUAAAAGAAUGGAUAAUAUUGUUAAAUGCCUAGAUUUUAAACUCAUUUAACGCUUAAUUAACUACAAAAUUCUUUCGUUUCUUUUUCGUGUUUGUUUUCUUCAAAGUUAAAAGUUAGCAACGAGUAGAAACAAAAAUCCUUUCUGCCGAAUAAAACAGCGCCGAGAAUAUUUUUUCUCCCUCUUCUAUUUAAUUUACGUUACGGCUUAGUUCUUCUAAGAGCGGUGUGAGGUGUGUAAAAAAAGGUAACAAGCACGAAUAGGAAGUUACAUUUAUGCAGACAAAUAUAUCUAUCUCCUUGUCUGAUAAAAUAUAGGAAUAACGAUAAGAAAGAUAUGACAGCAGAUAGACAUCCAGACAGACACAUACAUCAGAGAGAAAGAUAAGAACGUACGCAAGGGUAAUCUCUUAAGUAUUUUUGUUGGGGAAGAGAUAGUAAUAAGAGAUAAUAUAGAUCAAAAAUUAUGACAUUUUCGUCUAUUUAGUGUUUUUCUAGAGGAUAAUUAGCCAUUAUUCUUCUUAACACAUUUUUGAUUUCCGAUAAGAACGUGAUUAAACAUGUCUACUAAUCGAAAUCCAGUCAUUAAAGGCAGUUUAAUUGAACAAUCUAUUAGGAUGCUUUAAUGGGAUUUUCUCUUUUUUUUAUUUUUUUUAUCAGUUUGCCAAUAGUUCGGGACCAAUAGGAUCACAAUGUGUAGUACCAUUAAUUACGAUCGUUAUUGGAUGCUUGUUGGUAUAUUCCGACUUAAGAGAUCCCUUAUGUCGGGCAUUAAUUAAAAAAAAAAAAAACUCAUUUUUCGUAACGGUCAAAUAGAGUAAUUAUCUUAAUUUAAAUUUACCUAUUUUUCUUUCUGAAGUUCGCUUGAUGGGGAAAUUUCGCUAAAAUUACGUUAAAGAGAAAGAGAUAGGGGGAAAAACAACUCAUUUUUUGUAACGGUUUAGAAUUUAUACCGUACUUUUCUUUCCGAAGUUAAUUUUACGGGGAAAUUUCCCUAAAAUUAGGUUAUGC